AAAUAGUCUCUCAAAUGUUUGAGGGGCAAAGCUGCCCAGGUCUUAUCUAAAUAUUUUCCCAGAGACUUUAUCAUGCAGGCCAGGGCUCCCUGCAGUUGAAAGAAAGAGGGGCCUGUGCCCCCUCCCGAAUAUUCCAGUUGCCACGCCGGGCCGGGACUGUAAGUAACGUAGUGCUAUUUGAAGUGCUUUAAGCACCUUAGAAAAACUUGAAAAUACUGCUCCUUUAUUGUGUUUCAAUUAAUGCAUUAUUUUUAACUCUCUGGAAGGGGAAUGGAGGCGUGCUCAGGGGCUGGUGCAGAGUGAGCUGAGGGGACGAUCAGGCUGGCUGGGCCCAAGCGGGUCUGGGGGCUGCACCCCAGCUCAGAGGAGGGAGCUGGUGCUGGUGCCUGCGUGGUGGGCGGAGGCCCAUUGUGCCUGGGGGCAGCGGCGAGUGGGCAAGGCUGUGCACACGCACCAACCCCAUGAUUCAAUCGAUCGGAGCAAAGUGCAGGCCAGGGGAUGAGCUGGAUGUGAAAUUCAGGUUCCUUUCACAUCACGCCGAGUUGGCUUUCCCUGGAGCUUGACAAGCCCAUCCUCAGGGUCCUGGGGGCUGUAGCCCGAGUGGGGCAGGGCCCUGGGGGCACAGCGUUCUGGUCAAUGAGGGGCGUGCAGAAGAGGGCCCGGUGCUCAGAGUCGGCGAUGCUGGAGCCCCCAGUUCCUGCACUUUGAGAAACAAACUAACUUAAAAAGUCUUAUUUAGUCCAGGAAAAGAAAAUCGGAGAUUCCCCCUUUUUGCAGAAUAUGCCCUCCUCCUUCUGGGCCCUCCCUGUCUCACUCUGACACAGCAACUGCUCUGGAGUGGGACGCGGGAGUGAGGGUUCUUCGUGUGGAGUGGAUGGAGCGAGACCCGGCUGUCUGUGCAGUUAGGCGCUCUCCCUUGACCCCAGCGCGAGAGAGGCCGGGUCGGUCCUCAGAACAAUGGGACACUUGCCGCAGUCUGGGUAAGCUCCAGUGCAGACAAACUUUUCGUCUGGGUGUGGGGAGCGUGGAAGGGACAUUGAAAGAGGCUGUAGUUGGGCCUUUGCAGACACUGAGCAUCUCCAAGGCUCUGCUGGCCAGGAGCGCAUCCCCACCCCGCCUUUUCUAUUCUCUGAUUUGUGAAGCAUCAACCCAACUUCCUCAAGGCCUCCCAGUGGAACCGAUGCAGCAAGGUCACACUGUCCUGGACCCAGGAGGGUGGGCCUGCCUGAAGUGGUCGCCACGCAGCAAGUGUUGUGACACUGCUGGGCAUGGGGCUUGAGAAGCCACCGGGGCGCGCUGGGGACCCUCCAGCCUCCUGAUUCCCUCCCCCACGUGGCACCUCGCUCCAGUGCCUUCCCUCCUCCCCUGUUUUUCGGCUCAGGCAAAGGCGAAGGGGCCGCAGCACUGGGUCUCAACCCCCUGGCUGGAGACCCGGGAGCCCAUGUGGCCACCGCAUGAGCAGGGAUGCCCGCCUGAGGUCUCGCAGGUGCCGGGACCACCCCCCAGACCCGGAGCAAGGCUGGCGCUUCGGGAGCCAGAGCCUGAGCUGCAGAGAGCUCUGCGUGGCUCCGAGACUUGGGGGCUCGGCUCCCUCCAGGUGGGGAGCAUGCAGGACAGGAGGUGGGAGGUCCCGGCCGUCAGGCCUCCUCAGCCCAGGGGGCCCAGGCUCGGGCCGAAGCCACCUCCUGUCCGUCUCGGCCAGCCCUGGACACCCCGAGAGCCUGCCAGGGCCGCCUGCCUGGGAGCUGGCCAACCCUCAAGAAUGAAAUAACGAUGGACCGUAAACCCACCACACUGAAUUCCGAGGGCUGCUCCCUGGGGCGGUUGGGGCUGGGGUGCGAUGGGGAAUCAGGACAAGGAUCAACUGUAGCUUGUGUGUUUACUGCCCUGGAAACAAGGGCGUUAGCCGAGCCACCCCGAGCCUGAGGUCUUGCCCUCCCCCCACUUCCCCUUCCUUUCAUCCCGCCCCCUCCCCACUUCCCAGACAGCAGACACUGUCCUCUUCCACCUCCAGACGCCAGAUGGCUCCCUCUCUUUGCCUUUGCCCCUCCAGACAAUCUGGGCCCCUCCCCGUGCGGGUCAGAGGUUCCAAACCCCAGCCUCUUCCUGACCUGGCCCGACAUCCCAGGAGCAGAGAGAGCACAGAGGCUCCCCAGGCGGCGGCUUCGGUGUUUGCCCUCCGCUGUCCAGGGAGCAUCCCCGGCAUCAAGACUCCCGGGUCCCAGCCGCCGGGGCACCCUUGUGGCUGCAGGUCUGCCCUCUUCCGCCCUCUCCCUCCUGGCCAGUCACCCGACCGCUCCUGAGCCCUGUUGCAUGAUGGCCAUCAAUGCUGUGGUUCCGCGUUUGCCUCGUCCAGCAGUCUCUCUACAGCGGGAAACAGCCGGAAUUGGCCCUACUCCCCCGCUGUGGGCAUCCCUCCUGGCCCCUUAGGUUUGUCCCUCGGACGCCUCGGCCCCUCCCCGGGGAUGCACCUCUGGUUUGGGGUGACUUCCCGGGGCCUUUUGGCUAUGUUGGGCACCAGCCACGUGUGGAGUUGGGGAGGCCCUGUGGGUCCCACUUGGCCAGGCAGCUUCCAGAAGGUGCAUCCCCUCCCCCACCCCCCUUCUUUGCUGUCGUGCAAGAGGGCGAUGCCACAUCCCUCUUAAGAUGCACAACCAAGAGCAAGAAACACAGAGGCAUCGGGUGGAGGGGGCCAGGCAGGGGCAGAGGAGGGGGCUAGGAAGCGGGGUCAGGCGUAUCAGGAGGUGGGAUAGGGCGCAGAAGGGGAAACUGAGGUGCGAACACACAUUUGCGCUUGACAACGUUAGCGAAAGCUGCUGGGACCUCAGCAGUUCGACAGACCCCGGACCCAACAUUUGGGGGGUGCUAACAAGAACCCCUGGGAGGGUGGCCGGUGGCUUUGGCUGGGGGGGGGAGUUUCCCGGGGAGACAGAUGCCACACCACAGGGCUCGGCCCUCUAGGGGCUGGGCUGGGAGGAGAAGGAUGCUGUGGGUGAAGGAGGCGCCAUCCCCGGGGGUCCCGUGGCCCCUCACCUGGUGGAGGAGUGCAGCACAGGGGCCUGGCUGAUGGGGUUGUCCUCUUGUGUUUGCCAAGCAUCUCAGCCAGAGAGUGUCACUCGGUGAGAAGGGAAAUCUCACCUGUGACUUUGGGUAAUCGUAUUUGCUUAUUCAGUGUUUAUUAUAUGUUUUCAUUGUGCUUAGAUAAAAUUCAGUUAAUCAAUGCACACAACCCAUUGCACAGGUGAGGAAAACGAGGUACAGAGAGGUGAGAUCUCUUGUCCGGGCACUUGCAGAAGAUGUGACAGAGGGUGGCCCUGCCCUAGAGGCAGGCUCGAGGUCUCUGCCGGGCUGAUGCCAGCACAGAUGAGCAGCAGGUGACUGGGCCCAAGGCCCCUUAGCAGUGAGUGGUCAGCAUGGACCAGACUGACCUCUGUCUUGAAGCUCCGGGUUCUGCACCCCUGAGUCCCAGGAGAGACACCCAGCAACGCUGUGUUUCCAGGCUGGCCGUGGGGCUGCCCCUGAGCUGUGGGCAGAAGCGUGGGUUUCAGGAUUUGGGACCUUCACCAGGAGGGGACCACUGCUGCUUCAGAACGACAGAGAUUUUCAGACACAGGACUUCCAAAGCCCGCCUCACCUUCAGGUCCUCUGUUAUUGUUACUCAGCAUUCUGUUCACCACGUGACAGCGUGUGGGUCUCCAGGGCCUUUGAUCAGCCCCGUCGGGGAGGGAGCGGCAUCCAGCUUGUCGGGCUGUCCGUCUGCAGGGUGGGGGGCAGAGGUGGUCCGACACACGACCCAUCACUGUGGCAGGACGCUGCACCUUUCUUUCCUCUUUUUGCAGCUUUUGCUGGUUUCAGUUUUAUUUUUCAAACAGAUUAUUGUGAUACAUAGAUCCAGGCAGACAACACGAUUCCCCACAGCUAAGUCAGCCUGGGCCUCCUGUGGCCUCAGAGCUGCCAGGGCAGGGUCCCAGCAUCUCGGGCGGGAUGGAGCAUCUGGAAGUCUCACCGACUACCUUUUGCCUCUUGGUUUCUGAGUGUGUUUAUUUUAGCACCAUUCUGUGCUCUGUCCUGGUUGUCCUGAUGUGGACUAAUUCCCCGGGGCUGCUGGAAUGAAACGCCACAGGCUGGGGCUUAAGACAACAGACAUGCACCGUUGCACAGGCUGGAGGCCAGAGGCCUGAGCUCCAGGGAUUGGCAGGGCCAUGUUUCCCUGACGGCGCCGGGGAGGGUGUCUCCCUCGCCUUUCUCUUAGCCUCUGGUGUUGCCGCAGUCCUUGGCAUCUUACAGUUUGUUGAUGCAUCACUCCAGCCUCUGCCUCCAUGGUCCCCUACCUGGCCGUCCCCUCCCUGUGUGCCUGUGGUCUCUCUUCCUCUUAGAAAGACACCAGUCACUGGGUUGGGGCCCACCUUACACCAGUGUGGCCUCAUCUUCACUAAUUCCACCUGCAAAGACCCUAGUUCCCACUAAGGCCACGCUUGCAGGUACCGGCUUGGUCUUGAACAAGUUUUUUGGCCCCAGCUGAACCCACCAUAGAUGGAUUAAACAUUAGCUCUUCAGUAAGACGCCACGUUCUCUCCAGCCCCUGCAGGUAAACUCUUGGUCAGGACGAACAAAACCUGGGACCUUGUUUCCUCCUGGGUUGAAAGGAGGUGAUUACGAUCUGAGAGCUGUGAUUCGUGUUGCUGCAACUUGUUGUCUCUUGUUUGUAGGGCAGGAGCCGCGUCACAGACGGUGCUCUACCCGAGUCGAUGGUGUCCCACAAACUCCUCGUGUGCAGCACGUGUUUGCAGAUCUCGCUGGAGUCCCCGGCAGCCCUGGGGGUGGGGUGGGCGAGGCGGGGGGCAUCGUGCUCCUGUCACAGGUGAGGCGACAGAGGCCACAGGACUCCCUACCAAGAGCUGGCAGCUGAUCUGGGCAUUCCCCCCCACCCCGCCCCCAUCAGAGCUGCAGCCCACGGUUCUGGGGUCUUUAAUCAUACACGUCUCUUUUGAUUAACUUAGACGGGGCAGAUUCCAGACUUAUUACUCUCCUGCGUUUCUGUCUGCUGCGUGUGGGUCACCCACGCCGUCCCCGCAGGACCCAUGGUCAGUCCGUGGCCCAGCCAGUGAACUUCUCCAUCACUUUCGCUCUCUAGCUUGGCAUCCACCUGCGGGGCCAGCUGUGGCCUCUCGCCCUCCAUGGAGUCCAUCGGUCUCCCCACAUCUCAACCUGUGGACCCCGGACGCCAGUGUGUCACGCCCUUAGAGUCAAGCUGAUGGCCUCUGUGUCACUGCUCACAUGCAUAUUUAACUUUGAGGGUUGUUACUUGCCUUUCGUCAUUGGGGUCGCUAUUUGUAUCCUCAACACGUUUGCUAAUUUCCAGAAGAGCCUUCAGGGUGUGAGUCUUAUUCAUCUCUGUAAGUCCCGCAGCUUCGGCUCAGAAGAUGCUCAAUAAAUAUUUGUCAAUUGA